GGCAAUGUAGCUCAGUGAUAGAGUGCUUGCCUAAGAUUGCAAAAAGCCCUGGGUUCAAUUCCCAACACAGUUA
rnacentral:tRNA from 1 species